rnacentral:lncRNA from 1 species
AAAGGAAAAAUUCAGUUUAGGGUUUAAAACCCUAAUGGUGAUUAAAUGGAAAAAGUUCAGUUUAGGGUUUAAUACCCUAAUGCUGACUAAAUGGAAAGAGUUCAGUUUAGGGUUUAAAACCCCAAUGCUGACUGAAAAGAAAAAGUUCAGUUUAGGGUUUAAAACCCUAAUGCUGACUGAAAGGAAAAAGUUCAGUUUAGGGUUUAAAACCCUAAUGCUGACUGGACGGAAAAAGUUCAGUUUAGGGUUUAAAACCCUAAUGCUGACUAAAUGGAAAGAGUUCAGUUUAGGGUUUAAAACCCUAAUGCUAACUGAAAGGAAAAAGUUCAGUUUAGGGUUUAAAACCCUAAUGCUGACUAAAUGGAAAAAGUUCAAUUUAGGGUUUAAAACCCUAAUGCUGACUGAAAGGAAAAAGUUCAGUUUAGGGUUUAAAACCCUAAUGAUGACUAAAAGGAAAAAUUCAGUUUAGGGUUUAAAACCCUAAUGCUGACUAAAUGGAAAAAGUUCAAUUUAGGGUUUAAAACCCUAAUGUUGACGAAAGGAAAAAGAUCAGUUUAGGGUUUAAAACCCGAAUGCUGACUGGAUGGAAAAAGUUCAGUUUAGGGUUUAAAACCCUAAUGCUGACUAAAGGAAAAGUUCAGUUUAGGGUUUAAUACCCUAAUGCUGACUAAAUGGAAAGAGUUCAGUUUAGGGUUUAAAACCCCAAUGCUGACUGAAAGGAAAAAGUUCAGUUUAGGGUUUAAAACCCUAAUGCUGACUGGAUGGAAAAAGUUCAGUUUAGGGUUUAAAACCCUAAUACUGACUUAAGGAAAAGUUCAGUUUAGGGUUUAAAACCCUAAUGCUGACUAAAUGGAAAGAGUUCAGUUUAGGGUUUAAAACCCUAAUGCUGACUAAAGGGAAAAAGUUCAGUUUAGGGUUUAAAACCCUAAUGCUGACUGGAUGGAAAAUGUUCAGUUUAGGGUUUAAAACCCUAAUGCUGACUAAAGGAAAAAUUCAGUUUAGGGUUUAAAACCCUAAUGCUGACUAAAUGGAAAGAGUUCAGUUUAGGGUUUAAAACCCUAAUGCUGACUAAAUGGAAAGAGUUCAGUUUAGUGUUUAAAACCCUAAUGCUGACUGAAAGGAAAAGUUCAGUUUAGGGUUUAAAACCCUAAUGCUAACUGAAGGGAAAAGUUCAGU